GUGCAUCGAACUGCUGACCCUCCAUCCYCUUCAAUCUUUCCCCAAGUGAACAUUUYACUUGUGGGCUUGUGAGGUAUCCUGUGUUGCUUACCAUUGGAWUGGAAUUUGUCGGCUUUGUUACUCGCAUCUGCCAUGUGCCCAUAUGGGUGUGAGGUAGACGUGUGGUGAGCCCYGUGUUCCUAGCUUGCCAAUUGCUUCGRCAUUUGCUUGCUGUGGCCCAUGGGGUCUUUGCUUGUUCUCUAGGAUGCGGAAUGUUGUGUGGGCGUGAGGUCUGGACCUUCACUCGUCCAAACACAAAUUUUUAACUCGAAUGAUGUGCUUCUCUUGAUCUUCCCGACCGAGGCCCCAAAAUGGGGCUUACCGGACGAGGGUUGAACAAGCGGGUGUUAGCGUCAAWGAGUUUUAAAUCGAAUGACUGUCGCGCUUGUAAUGAUCUUCCCGACCGAGGCCCCGUAGCAGGGCUUACCGGAUGAGGGUUGAACAUGYGGGCGCUGGCGUCAAAGAGGAUAGC
rnacentral:misc_RNA from 1 species